AAUGGGCGCAAGCCUGAUCCAGCCAUGCCGCGUGAGUGAUGAAGGCCCUAGGGUCGUAAAGCUCUUUCGCCAGGGAUGAUAAUGACAGUACCUGGUAAAGAAACCCCGGCUAACUCCGUGCCAGCAGCCGCGGUAAUACGGAGGGGGUUAGCGUUGCUCGGAAUUACUGGGCGUAAAGCGCGCGUAGGCGGAUUAGUCAGUUAGAGGUGAAAUCCCGGGGCUCAACCCCGGAACUGCCUUUAAUACUGCUAGUCUUGAGUUCGAGAGAGGUGAGUGGAAUUCCGAGUGUAGAGGUGAAAUUCGUAGAUAUUCGGAGGAACACCAGUGGCGAAGGCGGCUCACUGGCUCGAUACUGACGCUGAGGUGCGAAAGUGUGGGGAGCAAACAGGAUU
rnacentral:rRNA from 1 species